AGACCAUGAAGAGCCUUAAAAACAAACAGUAAAAGUUUCAACUGAACUCUAAAAGGAACAGGGAGUCAGUGAAGUUAAACGUCACGCUGCUGCAUUCUGGACUAACGGGAGACGGUCGAGUGAUCGCUGAGUGACUCCAAAGUAAAGAGAGGUACAAUCAUCUGUACGGAGGUGAUUGUGGCGUGGAUGGCUGAUUCUAGAUCACUCUGGCUCAAGGAAGAUUCUCACUGAAGGCUGCGAGGGCUCUUUGACUAAGAAGGAGUGAUGGAGUUCUGCAGCAGAUGACCGGGCCUCCACAGUUAGCUGGACCUGAACCCCACUGAGAUGAUUUGGGGGUGUACCAGGUUUGACCGAGGUGGUGAUGAGGUAUUUCUUAUGGCUCUUUGGAUGCGUUCCGUUAUUCCUCUGAUGUCUGAUCUUCCAUAAAAAAACUGCACAUGAUGGCUGAUAGUGGGUCCCCCAUGGGAAAGCCUUCCUUCUGCCUAACAAGAGCAGCACGCCAACAGGCAUCUCAGGAAAGUAUGAAAUCAGCAAUAACAGACCACUGCAAGCA